AUUCCCACGUAUCAUUAACUUCCUUAAUUAAAUAUUAAUGGUAGCCUUUUUUAAAUAGAAAGAAACGUUGGUGUUAAAGAAACAAAAGUAUUAUAACUUUACUCAUAUAAAUCAAUACCAUUAAAACAAAAUAACCCAAAGUUACUGUAACACACCGAUCAAAAUCACUUCCUCUCUCCAAAACUAUCAACAAAACCUUUCAUAGAAACCAACCCAGAACGUCUAAUAUUCAAGAUCCAAGGAUAAACAUCUCAUGGUGUUCAUCGCGAGAAACCACACAGAUUCGUUCUAACCAUUCCAAAUCAACAAACAAACAAGUCUAAACGAACAAACUGAAACUAGCUCUAUCAUCAAAGAAUUUUAGAAGAAAAAAACACAGCAUAAUUCCUUACAGAUAUAAGAACCCUAGCUCAUGAAUCAAAAGCGCAACACCAGCAAUCAGCAGAUUAUAGCAGAUAUACAACCGAUACAUGAAUUUCUAGCAUAAAAGAAUCGACGAAAAAAAUCUAAGACGAGAGGGAAAAGAUCUCGCCGGAGCCUCAUGAAUCCGAUGGAAUUCCGGCGAUCAUGCUUACCUCAAGUGUUUAUCCUUGUUUUCUCUGUAUGUUUGUAUCCUUAGAAUAAUGAGGUUUCGCUGCUUAACUCUAAGCUUUGGUGUAUUCUGUGGCGAUGUCCCUGCAAGGUAACAGUAUGCUUUUUUCUCUUUCAAAUUCUUUUUCUGCGUUCGAUUUGUUCGCGAUUUAGCUUGGUUAGCUCAAGCUUCAACCAAGGAGCUCUGAAUUGCCAUUUGUAUUUUCGAGUUGUGGUAGGGUUUGCAGAAGAAUUUUUGCAGGGUAACGAUGCCUCUUCCGCCUCCUUUCUCAAUGAUUGAAGCACUCUUUAUACAGAAGAAAUGCAAGGUCUCAAAUCAUGUGCCAAUUAUGAGCUGGCGGAGGAUCCCAAGAAUCAUUCUGUUAGAAUAUCUCAGAUUUGGUGGGGACCGAUCCUAAAUCUCCAAUUUGCUGAAAGCUAUUUCGUUUUGUCUGUAGUGAUGUGUGUCGAUCUGUUUUAACACUUUUGGUGGUCCCAUCCAUUUCGGUAUUACCUCAUCCUUGGAAUUCAAAAUUUGUAUGUGAAUGGAAUCGUUUAAAUGUUAAAGUCUUGUUUCAUUGUUUUAGCUUUCCCCUGCAUAGCUGUGUUCUCUGUGUGUGAACUACUAUGAUAUAUUUCUGCUCAUAAAUUAGUUGUGGACUCGUUUGACAGUACCGGGUUAAUAGAGCAAUUCAUAUCUACAAGUGUUCCAAACGGUCCAGGUUUUGAAUUCUCUAAAUAUUUUCCAUUAUGAGUAUGUAGUUCUGUCAAAAAUGAUAUGCCUGCCUGACUAAUAUAUGCUGCAGAUCACCAUUGAGUAUGCAUUUAACGCUUGGUUAUCUUUGGUAGCAGGGCUGUUGUUUCAAAAAUGACACACCAUUGCUUUUGAGCUGAUACGCAGAUGCGGACUUUGUUGCUAUCGCAAGGCACAUAGGCUUGGUUUGGUGGCAAACUUCAAAAGGAUUGGCAAUGUUGCCGGUAUCUUAGCCAUAAAGCUUGAACCACGUAUCCUGUUGGGUUGGACAAGCGAAUUCAUUCCAUGUUGGCGGUUUGGUAACAGGUUUUUGAAGCAUACCCUGGCAAUCGUUUUGGUUUGGAGCAUUAUGGUAUUUAAACUGAUCCCAUCUUUAAUUGAUGAUUCAUAAUGCAAUGGUCUUGCCGCUGUAGCUUUAUCUUGGUGACCCAAAAGCUGUUAAAGUUUCUGCAACCGACCAAAUGCCUAUCCUGUUAUCGGCAUCAGCAUUAUUUAUGGAACUGAAUCAUCCAUCUUGGAGUUGUUACCCAUCGUGUCAUUCAAAGGACCAUCAUGUUGCAAAGGUCUGCAACAUGGCCUGCUGUGGGAGAAAUACUCUGAACUUGUGUCUGCAGCUGUUUUUUGGUGUGACGGCAAGUCGUUGCUGUUUUUCCAUUUUGCAGCUUGUGGCAUUUAUUUUCAAAUUGAUUUGCUUACUCUCUUUUUCAUGUAAAGUUGUUAUCUUAAGUAGGUAAACUGAAUAACGGUUUGAGUUGUUCGUUGGAUUGUCUUGUUUGCAAAUAAAACCUUGUU